rnacentral:rRNA from 1 species
GUUAAGCGACUAAGCGUACACGGUGGAUGCCCUGGCAGUCAGAGGCGAUGAAGGACGUGCUAAUCUGCGAUAAGCGUCGGUAAGGUGAUAUGAACCGUUAUAACCGGCGAUUUCCGAAUGGGGAAACCCAGUGUGAUUCGUCACACUAUCAUUAACUGAAUCCAUAGGUUAAUGAGGCGAACCGGGGGAACUGAAACAUCUAAGUACCCCGAGGAAAAGAAAUCAACCGAGAUUCCCCCAGUAGCGGCGAGCGAACGGGGAGCAGCCCAGAGCCUGAAUCAGUGUGUGUGUUAGUGGAAGCGUCUGGAAAGGCGUGCGAUACAGGGUGACAGCCCCGUACACAAAAAUGCACAUACUGUGAGCUCGAUGAGUAGGGCGGGACACGUGGUAUCCUGUCUGAAUAUGGGGGGACCAUCCUCCAAGGCUAAAUACUCCUGACUGACCGAUAGUGAACCAGUACCGUGAGGGAAAGGCGAAAAGAACCCCGGCGAGGGGAGUGAAAAAGAACCUGAAACCGUGUACGUACAAGCAGUGGGAGCACGCUUAGGCGUGUGACUGCGUACCUUUUGUAUAAUGGGUCAGCGACUUAUAUUCUGUAGCAAGGUUAACCGAAUAGGGGAGCCGAAGGGAAACCGAGUCUUAACUGGGCGUUAAGUUGCAGGGUAUAGACCCGAAACCCGGUGAUCUAGCCAUGGGCAGGUUGAAGGUUGGGUAACACUAACUGGAGGACCGAACCGACUAA